rnacentral:rRNA from 1 species
AACGAACGCUGGCGGCAGGCCUAAAACAUGCAAGUCGAACGAACCGCAAGGUUAGUGGCGCACGGGUGAGUAACACGUGGGAAUGUGCCUCUGGGUACGGAACAACGUCGGGAAACUGACGCUAAUACCGUAUAAUGUCUACGGACCAAAGAUUUAUCGCCCAGAGAUCAGCCCGCGUCUGAUUAGCUAGUUGGUGAGGUAACGGCUCACCAAGGCGACGAUCAGUAGCUGGUCUGAGAGGAUGAUCAGCCACACUGGAACUGAGAUACGGCCCAGACUCCUACGGGAGGCAGCAGUAAGGAAUCUUCCACAAUGGACGAAAGUCUGAUGGAGCAACGCCGCGUGCAGGAUGACGGCCUUCGGGUUGUAAACUGCUUUUGUACGGGAAGAUUAUGACGGUACCGUGCGAAUAAGGACCGGCUAACUACGUGCCAGCCGCCGCAGUAA